rnacentral:rRNA from 1 species
ACGGGGUGCAGCAGGCGCGAAACCUCCGCAAUGUGAGAAAUCGCGACGGGGGAAUCCCAAGUGCCAUUCUUAACGGGAUGGCUUUUCAUUAGUGUAAAGAGCUUUUGGAAUAAGAGCUGGGCAAGACCGGUGCCAGCCGCCGCGGUAACACCGGCAGCUCUAGUGGUAACAAUUUUUAUUGGGCCUAAAGCGUCCGUAGCCGGUUUAAUAAGUCUCUGGUGAAAUCCUGCAGCUUAACUGUGGGAAUUGCUGGAGAUACUAUUAGACUUGAGACCGGGAGAGGUUGGAGGUACUCCCAGGGUAGAGGUGAAAUUCUGUAAUCCUGGGAGGACCGCCUGUUGCGAAGGCGUCUAACUGGAACGGUUCUGACGGUGAGGGACGAAAGUUAGGGGCGCGAACCGGAUUAGAUACCCGGGUAGUCCUAACUGUAAACGAUGCGGACUUGGUGUUGGGGUGGCUUUGAGCUGUCUCAGUGCCGAAGGGAAGCUGUUAAGUCCGCCGCCUGGGAAGUACGGUCGCAAGACUGAAACUUAA